UAUUUUCCCAGUGAGGAGACGCAAGCCUGGUUCUGCAAUUCUUUCCAGCUCUGGAGUCUGUUAUGGUUCCCAUCUGAGCUCUAAAGGUCCCAGGUGUGUGAUGGCGGCUGCAAUCUGUCUUGUGGGUAUUAAUGCAAUCUUCAGUGGUGGCUCCUGUUCUCUAGCUGUUCUACAAAACUGGAGCAUGCUGGCUUGAAAAAACCUUGCCCAGUUUUGAUCCCUUCAAGACUUUGUCACAGCCUCUAUCACACAUCUGUUUUUCUCGAAGAAAAAAAUAAUAAAAAUGUUUUACUCUUUUACACUGUAUAA
rnacentral:sRNA from 1 species